GAGCCCGCACAAGCAGUGGAGUAUGUGGUUUAAUUCGACGCAACGCGAAGAACCUUACCAGGACUUGACAUCUGAAGAAGUCUGCGUAAUGGCGGAUGUGCCCUUCGGGGAACUUCAAGACAGGUGGUGCAUGGUUGUCGUCAGCUCGUGUCGUGAGAUGUUGGGUUAAGUCCCGCAACGAGCGCAACCCUUACGGUCAGUUACUACAUUAAGUUGAGGACUCUGGCCGGACUGCCGUUGACAAAACGGAGGAAGGUGGGGAUGACGUCAAAUCAUCAUGCCCCUUACGUUCUGGGCUACACACGUACUACAAUGGCGAGAACAAAGGGAAGCGAAGCCGCGAGGCGGAGCAAAUCCCAAAAAAAUCGUCCCAGUUCAGACUGCAGGCUGCAACCCGCCUGCACGAAGUCGGAAUUGCUAGUAAUCGCGGAUCAGCAUGCCGCGGUGAAUACGUUCCCGGGCUUU
rnacentral:rRNA from 1 species